rnacentral:rRNA from 1 species
AGCGAACGCUGGCGGCAGGCUUAACACAUGCCAGUCGAGCGGGCAUCUUCGGAUGUCAGCGGCAGACGGGUGAGUAACACGUGGGAACGUACCCUUCGGUUCGGAACAACUCUGGGAAACUGGAGCUAAUACCGGAUACGCCCUUAUGGGGAAAGGUUUACUGCCGAAGGAUCGGCCCGCGUCUGAUUAGCUAGUUGGUGGGGUAACGGCCUACCAAGGCGACGAUCAGUAGCUGGUCUGAGAGGAUGAUCGGCCACACUGGGACUGAGACACGGCCCAGACUCCUACGGGAGGCAGCAGUGGGGAAUAUUGGACAAUGGGCGCAAGCCUGAUCCAGCCAUGCCGCGUGAGUGAUGAAGGCCUUAGGGUUGUAAAGCUCUUUUGUCCGGGACGAUAAUGACGGUACCGGAAGAAUAAGCCCCGGCUAACUUCGUG